rnacentral:rRNA from 1 species
UACGUAGGGGGCGAGCGUUGUCCGGAGUUACUGGGCGUAAAGCGCUUGUAGGCGGUCCACCAAGUUUGGGGUGACAGUUGCCGACUUAAUCGGCAAAGGGCCUCAAAGACUGGCGGACUUGAGGGCCACAGAGGGACAUGGAACUCCAGGUGUAGUGGUGAAAUGCGUAGAUAUCUGGAAGAACACCAAAGGCGAAGGCAGUGUCCUGGGUGGUCGCUGACGCUGAGAGGCGAAAGCCAGGGGAGCGAACGGG